rnacentral:lncRNA from 1 species
GUGAAACAGAGUGCUGCUCUUGAAGGCCUUUGGCCCACAAAGUUUCCAUGCUGGACCAAUGCGAGGCUUGACCUCCUGAUCCCAUGAUCAAGACCUAAAAAUC